rnacentral:rRNA from 1 species
UAAAGUGGCGCACGGGGUGAGGAACGCGUAGGUAAUCUACCCUCUGGCGGGGGACAACACCUCCGAAAGGAAUGCUAAUACCGCGUAAGACCACACUCACUACGGUGAGAGCGGUUAAAGGUGCCUCAAAGCACCACCAGAGGAUGAGCCUGCGUCCCAUCAGCUUGUUGGUAAGGUAACGGCUUACCAAGGCGAAGACGGGUAGCUGGUCUGAGAGGAUGAUCAGCCACACUGGUACUGGAACACGGACCAGACUCCUACGGGAGGCAGCAGUGAGGAAUAUUGGGCAAUGGGCGCAAGCCUGACCCAGCCACGCCGCGUGUGUGAUGAAGGCCUUCGGGUCGUAAAGCACUGUGGGGAGAGACGAAACAGCGCAUCAGGAAAUGGUUGCGCCUUGACGGUACCUCCUUAGCAAGCACCGGCUAACUCUGUGCCAGCAGCCGCGGUAACACAGAGGGUGCAAACGUUGCUCGGAUUUACUGGGCGUAAAGCGCGUGUAGGCGGACUCGCAAGUCGGUUGUGAAAUCCCUGGGCUCAACCUAGGAACUGCAUCCGAAACUGCUUGUCUUGAGUAAUGGAGAGGGUGGCGGAAUUCCCGGUGUAGAGGUGAAAUUCGUAGAUAUCGGGAGGAACAUCAGUGGCGAAGGCGGC